UACGUAGGGUGCGAGCGUUGUCCGGAAUUAUUGGGCGUAAAGGGCUCGUAGGCGGUUUGUCGCGUCGGGAGUGAAAACACACAGCUUAACUGUGUGCUUGCUUCCGAUACGGGCAGACUAGAGGUAUGCAGGGGAGAACGGAAUUCCUGGUGUAGCGGUGAAAUGCGCAGAUAUCAGGAGGAACACCAGUGGCGAAGGCGCCACUCUGGGCCGUAACUGACGCUGAGGAGCGAAAGCGUGGGUAGCAAACAGG
rnacentral:rRNA from 1 species